rnacentral:lncRNA from 10 species
GCCACCGACGAGUUUCAACAUGGGGAAUCAAGUUCUCUGGGCUUGCAGAGAGGAGAUGGGCGGGUUGGGCUUUGUAUGGCGAUGUGAAAACCAGAUGGGUCUGGGAGAGACAGCGAAAGGAGCGAACCGUUUCAGGAGGAAUACGGGAGGAAGACAAUUAUUUGCAGAGGUGUCAGGGGAUUUGAUGCAGAUGAUCAUCAUGGCUUGGAGAAACAAUGAAGGAAGCAAAGUAUGCCAUCUAUGCUGCGGGAGGUAACUCCAGAAGACCCCAGAGAGAACGAGUUUGGACUUUUAACUGAGGGCCAUUGGAAACUACUGAAGAGUUUUAGGCAGCAUAAGAACUACUAGAUUUUCAUUGUGGGAGGAUCCUCAGCAGCAGCCUCAGAAAGGAGAUUGGGGAAGGAGAUCCCUAGUCAGGGAGACCAAGAAGACUACUGGAAAAAAACAGGGGAAUCCUCAAGGACCUGCAAACAAGAAACCAAAUCCCCCCACUCCCCCCAGCCAAAAUGUGUUCAUUUUGACCAGCUGUGUGUGUGUUUUAAAUUAAAAGUUUGAAUUAGAAA